GAUGAAGAACGCAGCGAAAUGCGAUAAGUAAUGUGAAUUGCAAAUUCAGUGAAUCAUCGAGUCUUUGAACGCACAUUGCGCCCCCUGGUAUUCCGGGGGGCAUGCCUGUCCGAGCGUCAUUGCUGCCCUCAAGCACGGCUUGUGUGUUGGGCCCCGUCCUCCGAUCCCGGGGGACGGGCCCGAAAGGCAGCGGCGGCACCGCGUCCGGUCCUCGAGCGUAUGGGGCUUUGUCACCCGCUCUGUAGGCCCGGCCGGCGCCUGCCGAUCAACCCAAAUUUUUUAUCCAGGUUGACCUCGGAUCAGGUAGGGAUACCCGCUGAACUUAAGCAUAUCAAUAAGCGGAGGA
rnacentral:misc_RNA from 1 species